AACGAACGCUGGCGGCAUGCCUAACACAUGCAAGUCGAACGAGACCUUCGGGUCUAGUGGCGCACGGGUGCGUAACGCGUGGGAACCUGCCCUUAGGUUCGGAAUAACUCCCCGAAAGGGGUGCUAAUACCGGAUAAUGUCUUCGGACCAAAGAUUUAUCGCCUUUGGAUGGGCCCGCGUUGGAUUAGCUAGUUGGUAGGGUAAAAGCCUACCAAGGCGACGAUCCAUAGCUGGUCUGAGAGGAUGGUCAGCCACACUGGGACUGAGACACGGCCCAGACUCCGACGGGAGGCAGCAGUGGGGAAUAUUGGACAAUGGGCGAAAGCCUGAUCCAGCAAUGCCGCGUGAGUGAUGAAGGCCUUAGGGUUGUAAAGCUCUUUUACCCGGGAUGAUAAUGACAGUACCGGGAGAAUAAGCUCCGGCGAACUCCGU
rnacentral:rRNA from 1 species